rnacentral:rRNA from 1 species
AUGUCGGUGGAGACGGAGCGGAGCUCCACGGAGUCCUCCGCCGCCUCGGGCCUCGACUUCGAGGACACCGCCCUAACCCUCCGCCUCCCCGGCUCCGACCCCGACCGCAAGCGCGCCUCCACCUCCGACCCCGACUGCCCCUCCCCGACCGCCGCCGCCUCCGACUCUCCCCCUUCCCCCAAGGCGCAGGUGGUGGGCUGGCCACCGGUGCGGUCGUUCCGGAAGAACGCCCUCGCGGCCGCGGCCUCGUCCAAGACCAAGUUCGUCAAGGUGGCCGUCGACGGCGCGCCCUACCUGCGCAAGGUCGACCUCAAGGCUUACGCGGGCUACACAAGCUCUGCCUCCUACGACCAGCUCCUCGCCACGCUCCAGGACAAGUUCAUCUCCCACCUCACCGUCCGUGAGUGCACCGCCGCGACAUGCCAUGCCUGUGUCUGUGUGUUAGCUACGUGUUGCUCGCUCGUGGGUUCUGACGAUUUGACUGUGGAUGCAGGCAAGCUUGGGAACGAGGAGAUGAAGCUCGUGGACGCGGUGAGCGGGACGGAGUAUGUGCCGACGUACGAGGACAAGGACGGCGACUGGAUGCUCGUCGGAGACGUCCCCUGGAGGUGA